rnacentral:lncRNA from 1 species
ACGAAGCCUCCGGCCAUCAAACAAGAAGGCAAUGGAAUUGAAAUCAACCGACUGGCGGUCACAGUAGGCAUUCAUGAGUUUCCGUAGCUGAGUGCUGCGCUUGAUCCUGAAAAACACCUCAUUUCCAUCCUGUCGAGCAAAAAGAGGUGAUAAACAUAAAGCGACAAAAAAAAGCAAAAAGAGGUGAUAAACAUAGAGCGACAAAAAAAACAAAAAAAACAACCAUAAGCAAAGAAUGUGCCAUGAAAUAAAAUGUUUGAGGCUUAAAACGAUGUGAACAUAUGUUAUUACUUGAAAUAUUUUAGUAUUACUGAGUAAGCCAUGCUUUCAUCCAAAAUAUCUGUCAAAAGUAACAUGUAAAUGGUUUUAAAUUUUUUUCCAAAAAAUCCACCAUAACUACAUGCUGUUUUUUCCUAUCUCAGCCUUCAAAAAGUCAAUUGGCAAAAUUAAAAAGGGGGGAAAACAUAUCCAGCAAACUAAUUUCUAGAUAAAGAUGGCUUCUAACUGCUCAAGCAAUAUCCCACCCCAACCUCGAUUAGGGUCCACUCCCCUUCUUGUUGCUGGAAUCUCAGGAGGAAACACCCUUACCCU